rnacentral:miRNA from 1 species
AUAAGACGAACAAAAGGU